rnacentral:tRNA from 1 species
GGCUCCAUAGUUUAAUGGAUAGAACGGAGGUUUCCGGUACCUCUGGUGUGGGUUCGAUUCCCUCUGGGGCUACUA